rnacentral:tRNA from 1 species
AGGAUAUUAGUUAAAAAUAUAACAAUUAAAUUGCAUUUAAUAAUUAAUCUAAAAUUAUAUCUUA